CAGCAGCCACGGUAAUACGUAGGGUGCGAGCGUUAAUCGGAAUUACUGGGCGUAAAGCGCACGUAGGCGGACUUUUAAGUCAGGGGUGAAAUCCCGGGGCUCAACCCCGGAACUGCCUUUGAUACUGGGAGUCUUGAGUUCGAGAGAGGUGAGUGGAAUUGCGAGUGUAGAGGUGAAAUUCGUAGAUAUUCGCAGGAACACCAGUGGCGAAGGCGGCUCACUGGCUCGAUACUGACGCUGAGGUGCGAAAGCGUGGGGAGCAAACAGGAUUAGAUACCCGAGUAGUCCCUGUCUCUUAUAA
rnacentral:rRNA from 1 species